GAUGAACGCUGGCGGCGUGCUUAACACAUGCAAGUCGAGGGGAAACGAUAGAGAAAGCUUGCUUUUUCUAGGCGUCGACCGGCGCACGGGUGAGUAACGCGUAUCCAACCUGCCCACCACUUGGGGAUAACCUUGCGAAAGUAAGACUAAUACCCAAUGACGUCUCUAGAAGACAUCUGAAAGAGAUUAAAGAUUUAUCGGUGAUGGAUGGGGAUGCGUCUGAUUAGCUUGUUGGCGGGGUAACGGCCCACCAAGGCGACGAUCAGUAGGGGUUCUGAGAGGAAGGUCCCCCACAUUGGAACUGAGACACGGUCCAAACUCCUACGGGAGGCAGCAGUGAGGAAUAUUGGUCAAUGGACGAGAGUCUGAACCAGCCAAGUAGCGUGCAGGAUGACGGCCCUAUGGGUUGUAAACUGCUUUUAUAAGGGAAUAAAGUGGGAGUCGUGACUCUUUUGCAUGUACCUUAUGAAUAAGGACCGGCUAAUUCCGUAG
rnacentral:rRNA from 1 species